UCUUUCACGACGCUAUCUACGAGUCUAUCCAGCACCUUAAGUAUAUACAACUUCAUCGAGGCGGGUUCGCACGAGGCGAGUUCGCACGAGCCGACAUUGAUAUUAAAAGGGCGGUUUCGCGAGUUGCGUGAAAAAGGCGAUUAAGGGGACCCGAAUCACCGUGCGAAUUUACGAGAUCGUCACACGAGAACAGGGAUGAUCGACGCGGGAUCUAGGCGUUAUUUUCUCCCCUGUUUUAAAUUUCACUGAGCAUCGUGAGCGAAGAUCGUGGCAGAAAAACACGAUAGGUUCAAGGAUGUAACUCUUCUAAGAAUGGCUGAUAAGCGGAUGAAGUCUGUUUCAUGGAAGUCAGAGGUAUAAUCGCAAAGGUGAGCGAUAUUUUGAAAAUUUUUAAGGGGAUGACAAACUCACGUUUGCUUGCAAAAUAGAAAGACAAUUUUGGUAAUAUGAAAUGUACGAUAACGCAUGGACUUUUUCAAUCGUUCCAAAUUUAUGGAAUGUGUGAACAAUUUUCUGACUGAUUGUAGCUACUCUCGUAAGAAUUCAUAUAUUCGAUCGCAUCAAAGUAUUCCUCGGAACAUUAAUUCACCAGAAGGUGUAUUCACUGUAACCUAUAGUCUCAGCCGGUGUAAAGACAAUCUCCUUACGCCCGGUUGAUAUAUACUGAAAUCGCUCCAUUAAAUAUUUAUACACGGGCGAGGAACAGGGCGAGAAGAGAUGCAAAUUACAGCAUACGAAUGC